CAAGGGCCAUGCUUUUUCAGUACAGACAGUCGCAAACAAGCACAUGUGUCACUGUCAAAGCCUAGUACACACUUCUGUUGCCGCUUCCGCAAUGAGCGGCUGGACGUUCACGAACGGAAAGGAUGUGAAAAAAACCCUGCUGGUCUCAGAAUUUUACUGAUAGAAGGAAUUUGUUCAAUGCAGGCCGUUUAUCUGCAAUUGAUCGAUGAUCUAAGCUGAUAAAUGUCUCUAUACCUCUGUUUGCCUCAGGAACAGUGUCCAGUGAGUUCAUUUGUUUAUGUUUAAAACAGGGUGUGGCCCCAAGGACAGACAACCUCCAUGGCUUUGCAAAGAUUCAUGCUUCGUGUCUUCCUGCUGCACUUCAAUUCUGACGCAAAUGUCAUUUAAAUGGAAGCGCUUUUCCAUACUUCAAACUUCCUCUUUGCCGGAGGGGGUGUGUGAGAGCUUUAUCGGUGCCAAGACUUUGUCCCUGCGUCUAUUUAUAUCUGCUGCUGUUGAAUGAGUCAGCAGACCGCAAAGUCCAUCAGAGCCGGGCAGUAAAAUCUCCUCAGAACAACACACAGAAGUGCUGCUGAUAACGGGCGCGAGGUUGAAGGUGCACAGAUGUAAUCUUAAAGGACUCCGCCACACCGGUCAAGUCAAACAUUGAUGGAUGGGAUUACAGAUCAACAUGCAGCUGGCUGAGAUACUUACAGCGAGGAAGAGCAUGCAGUACAUGGAAAAAGAUGAGUGGCCGGAGUAGAACGAGAGCCUGCAACAGAGAGACAAAAGCACAGCUCAACACCCGAUGUGUCUUUUUGUCCUGUCUGCCUCCCAUCAACCCCAACAGAUCGCAGCAGUUUGGUUCAGCCUGGUUCUGGGAAGGUUUGGUGUUUAAGUUGCUACGGUGAUGUGCUCUGAUGGGAAGUGAACUGUCCCAACGCUGAAAACUAAGAAACCUGACGUUCGCUAACAGCAAAUCCAGCUUCACAGUACAGCCCUUUGCUUUGUUCUAACUGUGGGAAAGUAAUCAAAUACUUAAUACUACUAUUUUCCUGAGACUUAAAGUGUGUCAGAACAACUGCAGAGUUGUGUACUUACAAAUACAGCUCAUGGUUGUGGCUGCUGAACCACUAUCUACUGCAGGAUAUGGUGCUGAGUGAGUGCUGAGAAUCUAGCUUAUUUAUAAUAUCAAAAGGGGCCAUCUCAACUGAGUCUUACGCGUAUAACUGGAACCUACAUAUUUCUCACAUUGGAGUGACGUUCCUAGGUUUGAUGUGCUUGUUCUCAUUUAUGCUUCAGUAAUACAUGCAAGUGAAUGCUGAGCACAAGCUGAAAGUCGGAACCACAACUCUAAAACGGUUAUUCAGAGGUUGUUCAGUGACAUGCUUGACCUCUGCCCUUUGUGCUUACGCUGUGAACAUGUUACAAAACAAUGGCCUGAAGGUUUUUCCAAUAAUUAGCUCAACAACAAGAAAACCCCAAAACAAACAAAGCUGGUGUGCAUAAAGUUGGAAAAGAGGUGUUCGUUUCAACAUCUGAAAUCAAAAAAAGAAAACGAAUUCAUUCUUAUUUGAACUCAGGCUGCAACCGCUAGUUUCAAAUCUAAACAUCAGAAUAAAAAGAUAAAUCAGAGUCCAUGGUGAUCUGUUUAAAUGGUUUGCUUUUUUCCAAUAAAUGGCCAGCUAGACAUUAUACAACAUAAAGCACUGAAUCAUCACACUUGAGAAGCUAGCCUAGACAUCAUUUUUGCUCAAACUGACAAUCCUGCUUCGAGCUCUGCUUUCCUGGUGCUGGGUCAU